AACAAAUUUGUUGACACACAUCACAUUGAAACUACAAACGAUGACUCAUCCCUUCUUUUACAAUUUUCAGUUUUUUCCCUCAACUUCCUACUUUCUCUCUCUACACCUCUCUUUCUCUCUCUCUCUCCACGUAGCGAAUUCGCACUGCCGGCGAUUCCACUCGCCGUCAAUUGCAUUUUGUGUAUUGUGUCAAUCGCGCAAAUCUGAUUGAUUCGCAUCGAUCCCGGAGUUGUUGUCAGAAUGCGGAUAGUAUAGUUCCGUUUGGUUGUUUUUUAUUCUUCCGAGAAGACGGAGGCUUGAGAUAAACAUUUGGUGGAUGAGAUGGUGGAGGGAAGAGUUUGUUCUUCUAGACAAGCAAAACUGGAAUUUUUAAAGCAUAAAAUGUUAAAAAGGAGGAAAACAGAAGCAGAGAAUGAACCUUAUGUUGUCAGCAAGACACUGAAUAGGAGUGGUGGUGAUGCUUUAAGAACUUCUGCUUCCUACAGUGUUAGUUUGCACAAUCAUGCUGACCUACCAAGAUUUGGUAACAGUUCUUCCACUAAGGAAGAUGUUUUCUCGAAGAGGAAAGUGGCUAAGUUUGAUAUUUCGGACCUCGAAUGGACAGAGAAAGUUCCAGAGUGCCCGGUUUAUCGUCCAACUAAAGAGGAAUUCCAGAAUCCCUUAGUUUAUAUCCAAAAGAUUGCCCCAGAAGCCUCUAAAUAUGGUAUUUGCAAGAUCAUAUCCCCUGUAAGUGCUUCUGUUCCUGCUGGUGUAGUUCUUACAAAAGAGAAGACUGGUUUCAGUUUUACAACUAGGGUACAACCACUUCGUUUCGCUGAAUGGGAUAGUGACGACAAGGUUACCUUUUUCAUGAGUGGGAUAAACUAUACUGUUCGUGAUUUUGAGAGGAUGGCAAACAAGAUUUUUGCUCGUAGAUAUGGUAGUGUUGCUGGCCUUCCUGCCGCAUUCAUGGAAAAAGAAUUUUGGAAUGAGAUAGCUUUUGGAAAGACUGAAAGUGUCGAAUAUGCAUGUGAUGUUGAUGGGAGUGCAUUUUCAUCUUCUCCGAAUGAUCCACUUGGAAAAAGCAACUGGAAUUUUAAGAAAAUCCCUCGGCUGCCAAUAUCUACUUUGCGUCUUCUUGAGACGGAAAUUCCGGGUGUCACUGAACCUAUGCUUUACAUAGGGAUGCUGUUUAGUGUUUUUGCUUGGCAUGUGGAAGAUCAUUACCUGUAUAGCAUCAAUUAUCACCAUUGCGGGGCUGCAAAAACUUGGUAUGGCAUUCCAGGUCACGCAGCAAUUGAUUUUGAAAAUGUGGUAAAGGACCAUGUCUAUGCUCAUGAUAUCUUACCUGGUGACGGGGAGGUUGGAGCUUUUGACGUUCUUUUGGGGAAGACAACUCUUUUCCCACCAAACAUAUUGUUAGAACAUGAUGUCCCUGUUUAUAGAGCUGUCCAGAACCCUGGGGAAUUUGUAAUAACUUUCCCUAGAGCUUAUCACUCAGGAUUUAGUCAUGGUUUCAAUUGUGGUGAAGCUGUUAAUUUUGCAAUGGGCGAUUGGUUUCACCUGGGAUCAAUUGCAAGUAGGCGCUAUGCACUACUCAACAGGAUCCCUCUUCUUCCCCAUGAGGAGCUUCUCUGUAAAGAAGCAAUGCUACUACGUUAUGCAAGACCCGAAUUUGAUGAGCCAGAGCACACACAUGGAGAUUUGGUAUCACAGAGAAGCAUAAAGGUUUCUUUUGUUAAUUUGAUUCGGUUUCAGCAUUAUGCCAGAUGGUGUCUGAUGAAAGCAAGAGCAUGCACGGCCAUCUCUUCUUUCUCCCAUGGAACAAUUCUCUGCAGCCAGUGCAAACGUGAUUGUUAUGUAGCAUAUCUGAACUGCCAGUGUCACUCGCACCCUGUAUGCCUCCACCAUGAUACAAGAUCACUUGAUUGGCCUUGUGGAAGGACUCCAACACUUGCUGUAAGAGAAAACAUUGUAGAAAUGGAAUUAGCAGCCAGACACUUUGAGGAGGAGAAGGAUAUAUUUCAGGAAUUUGAGCAGAAGUAUGGGAACAGCGGUGACUUUGGUUCACUAUUUUACCAGUUCUCAGGAGCUGAAAAUGAUAGCUACAUCCCUUAUGGAAAGAUUUCUCCUGUAUCAGACAAAGAAAUAUCUGAAUACCGAUCUGUUUUAACCAGUUGCAGCAAAAUUACUAAGACUGAAAUCACGGAUGCAUUUGUUUCUUCUAUGCUACCUUUGAAAUCAUCUGAAAGUCUCAAAAUGAUAGCCAAAGCUGGGCAGGAUAAUGGAAACUCUAACUUGGAGGAUAGCAUACAUGCAAUGCCUUUUGAAUAUUCCAAACCCUUGAGCAGAAAACCUAGAUCCGAAAGGAAGGUAGUUCAGGAGGUCAACACUAGAGGUGCUAUCCAUGAAGAUGAGUCGGAUUCAGAAAUAUUCAGGGUUAAGCGAAGAUCGUCUUACAAAGUUGAAAUGAAAAAUGCACGUGAUUUGACAUCUUUAAACACUGACCAGCAGGGUUUCAAGCGACUCAAAAGGCAACAACUGGAAGUGCAGUGUGGAAUCUUAACAUCAUCAGGCAAUCCUAUCCCUGAUGAUCAAAGUCACCAUUAUGUUAUGAGCUCUACUGAAUCUAAAGAAUCUACGGCUAAUUCCAAAUUAGCCAUUAGAAGCAAUUUUCCUUCCAUUAAGUUCAAACAAAUGCCUAAAGUUCUAGGUGCAGAACUGCACAGAGAUCAGAGGCAUCGCUUUGAGUCGAGAGAAAAUCUAAAGCACAAGGGACAGAAAGCCAAGAUGAGUGACUGUUUUAGGUGGUGAUAGAAAUUGAAACUGGAAUAGGUGAUAGUGGCAAUGCAGCUGAAGAAUCUUCAACCUAGCUAACUUGGCUAAUGACAUUCUUUUUCGGGGGAUCUAACAACACAAGGAGGUUAGAAAUAUGUUUUGAUGAAGCAGCGACAUGAAGUUAACCAAAUACUAGAAGUAAAAUUAUUCUUUGUGCAAGCUCCAAAAUGGGGACAAAUUGCACAGUGAUUCUUUUGCGAUUCUCGGCUGGGGAUUUAAUCUUUGGCAGGAGAACUCUCUCAUAAGUCAUAGGUACAUACAACAGGUGGACUUACUCUUGAUUUCGUCAUGAAGUUAAGUUCAUGUGUUAUUUCCAUAAAGACAUAUCAGAAUCUAUUUUCAUGUGUUAUUUCCAUAAAGACAAGCUUCACCAACAAGUUAUCAAAAAUGUAACAUAUCAGAAUCUAUUUUCAUGUGUUAUUUCCAUAAA